rnacentral:rRNA from 1 species
CCUACGGGAGGCAGCAGUGAGGAAUAUUGGUCAAUGGGCGUAAGCCUGAACCAGCCAAGUCGCGUGUGGGAUGAAGGUUCUAUGGAUCGUAAACCUCUUUUAUAAGGGAAUAAAGUGUGGGACGUGUCCUUUUUUGUAUGUACCUUAUGAAUAAGGAUCGGCUAACUCCGUGCCAGCAGCCGCGGUAAUACGGAGGGUCCGAGCGUUAUCCGGAUUUAUUGGGUUUAAAGGGUGCGUAGGCGGCCUUGUAAGUCAGCGGUGAAAGCCUGUGGCUCAACCAUAGAAUUGCCGUUGAAACUGGGUGGCUUGAGUAUGUUUGAGGCAGGCGGAAUGCGUGGUGUAGCGGUGAAAUGCUUAGAUAUCACGCAGAACCCCGAUUGCGAAGGCAGCCUGCCAAGCCACGACUGACGCUGAUGCACGAAAGCGUGGGGAUCAAACAGGAUUAGAUACCCGGGUAGUC